CUCGUAGGCGGUCUGUUACGUCUGCUGUGAAAACCCGGGGCUUAACCCCUGGCUUGCAGUGGAUACGGGCAGACUAGAGGCAGGUAGGGGAGAAUGGAAUUCCCGGUGUAGCGGUGAAAUGCGCAGAUAUCGGGAGGAACACCGGUGGCGAAGGCGGUUCUCUGGGCCUGACCUGACGCUGAGGAGCGAAAGCGUGGGGAGCGAACAGGAUUAGAUACCCUGGUAGUCCACGCUGUAAACGUUGGGCGCUAGGUGUGGGGUCCUUCCACGGAUUCCGUGCCGCAGCUAACGCAUUAAGCGCCCCGCCUGGGGAGUACGGCCGCAAGGCUAAAA
rnacentral:rRNA from 1 species